rnacentral:rRNA from 1 species
AAGUCCUACGGGGGGCAGCAGUGAGGAAUAUUGGUCAAUGGGCGAGAGCCUGAACCAGCCAAGUCGCGUGAGGGAGUACUGCCCUAUGGGUUAUAAACCUCUUUUGUCGGGGAGCAAAAGCCGGACGUGUCCGUCUGUGAGAGUACCCGAAGAAAAAGCAUCGGCUAACUCCGUGCCAGCAGCCGCGGUAAUACGGAGGAUGCGAGCGUUAUCCGGAUUUAUUGGGCGUAAAGCGAGUGCAGGCGGUUCAAAAAGGCUG